GGAAAAGAACUCGAUGGCAUCCUUGGC
rnacentral:piRNA from 1 species